GACGAACGCUGGCGGCACGCCUAACACAUGCCAGUCGAACGGACUUAAAAGAGCUUGCUUUUUUAAGUUAGUGGCGGACGGGUGAGUAACACGUGAGCAACCUGCCUCUGAGAGGGGGAUAGCUUCUGGAAACGGAUGGUGAUACCCCAUAAAAUAUAAAUAUCGCAUGAUAGAUAUAUCAAAGAAAUUCGCUCAGAGAUGGGCUCGCGUCUGAUUAGAUAGUUGGUGAGGUAACGGCUCACCAAGUCGACGAUCAGUAGCCGGACUGAGAGGUUGAACGGCCACAUUGGGACUGAGACACGGCCCAGACUCCUACGGGAGGCAGCAGUGGGGAAUAUUGCACAAUGGAGGGAACUCUGACGCAGCGAUGCCGCGUGGAGGAAGAAGGUUUUCGGAUUGUAAACUCCUUUUAUCAGGGACGAUAAUGACGGUACCUGAAGAAAAAGCUCCGGCUAACUACGUG
rnacentral:rRNA from 1 species